AACACGUGAGUAACCUGCCCUUGACUCUGGGAUAAGCCUGGGAAACCGGGUCUAAUACCGGAUAUGACCUGUCACCGCAUGGUGGUGGGUGGAAAGAUUUUUUGGUCUUGGAUGGACUCGCGGCCUAUCAGCUUGUUGGUGGGGUAAUGGCCUACCAAGGCGACGACGGGUAGCCGGCCUGAGAGGGUGACCGGCCACACUGGGACUGAGACACGGCCCAGACUCCUACGGGAGGCAGCAGUGGGGAAUAUUGCACAAUGGGCGCAAGCCUGAUGCAGCGACGCCGCGUGAGGGAUGAAUGCCUUCGGGUUGUAAACCUCUUUCAGCAGGGAAGAAGCGAAAGUGACGGUACCUGCAGAAGAAGCGCCGGCUAACUACGUGCCAGCAGCCGCGGUAAUACGUAGGGCGCAAGCGUUGUCCGGAAUUAUUGGGCGUAAAGAGCUCGUAGGCGGUUUGUCGCGUCUGCUGUGAAAGCCCGGGGCUCAACCCCGGGUCUGCAGUGGGUACGGGCAGACUAGAGUGCAGUAGGGGAGACUGGAAUUCCUGGUGUAGCGGUGAAAUGCGCAGAUAUCAGGAGGAACACCGAUGGCGAAGGCAGGUCUCUGGGCUGUAACUGACGCUGAGGAGCGAAAGCAUGGGGAGCGAACAGGAUUAGAUACCCUGGUAGUCCAUGCCGUAAACGUUGGGCACUAGGUGUGGGGGACAUUCCACGUUUUCCGCGCCGUAGCUAACGCAUUAAGUGCCCCGCCUGGGGAGUACGGCCGCAAGGCUAAAACUCAAAGGAAUUGACGGGGGCCCGCACAAGCGGCGGAGCAUGCGGAUUAAUUCGAUGCAACGCGAAGAACCUUACCAAGGCUUGACAUGGGCCGGACCGGGCUGGAAACAGUCCUUCCCUUCGGGGCCGGUUCACAGGUGGUGCAUGGUUGUCGUCAGCUCGUGUCGUGAGAUGUUGGGUUAAGUCCCGCAACGAGCGCAACCCUCGUUCCAUGUUGCCAGCGCGUAAUGGCGGGGACUCAUGGGAGACUGCCGGGGUCAACUCGGAGGAAGGUGGGGACGACGUCAAAUCAUCAUGCCCCUUAUGUCUUGGGCUUCACGCAUGCUACAAUGGCCGGUACAAUGGGUUGCGAUACUGUGAGGUGGAGCUAAUCCCAAAAAGCCGGUCUCAGUUCGGAUUGGGGUCUGCAACUCGACCCCAUGAAGUCGGAGUCGCUAGUAAUCGCAGAUCAGCAACGCUGCGGUGAAUACGUUCCCGGGCCUUGUACACACCGCCCGUC
rnacentral:rRNA from 1 species